GAUGAACGCUGGCGGCGUGCCUAAUACAUGCAAGUCGAGCGAACAGAUGAGGAGCUUGCUCCUCUGACGUUAGCGGCGGACGGGUGAGUAACACGUGGAUAACCUACCUAUAAGACUGGGAUAACUUCGGGAAACCGGAGCUAAUACCGGAUAAUAUAUUGAACCGCAUGGUUCAAUAGUGAAAGACGGUUUUGCUGUCACUUAUAGAUGGAUCCGCGCCGCAUUAGCUAGUUGGUAAGGUAACGGCUUACCAAGGCAACGAUGCGUAGCCGACCUGAGAGGGUGACCGCCCACCCGGAACUGGGGACCGGGUCCAGCCCCUACGGGGAGCCGGAGGAGGGAAUUCUCCGGCAAGGGGGAAAGGCUUGAGGGGGCACCGCCGCGUGAGUGAGGAGGUUCUUGGGACGGAAAACCUUUUUUAUAAGGAAAAAAAAAUUGUUAAAGAAAUUAGCCCCGUCUGGAGGUACCUAAACAAGAAGCCCACGCUUACCUACG
rnacentral:rRNA from 1 species